UAGGAAAAUGCAACCCACGUAACAUUUUGAGUGGUUGGCUCAUGUGGACCAGACCAAUCUGACAGGAGAUUUUGAUGUCCCCACAAAGUAAAUGAUUAGAAAUCAUUACACUUUUGGAGUAAAUGCCUCCAGCAGAAUAUUGUAAGAAGGCGUAUUUAAAUGAUAAGAAUUACCCAACACAAAUUUUACAGCCAAGCACAGUGACUCAGGAACUACCCUGUACCAUGUGCUAGACAGGCUCCUUAUAUAAUAGCUCGUACUUGAUGCUCACAAUAGAGCUAUGUGCUAAGUGUUGCCAUCACUUUCUAGACAGGAAACUAAAUCUUGGAGUAAAUCCUGUCCAGUAUCAAAGAGAGUGAAAGCUUCAGAAUUUGGCCACAAAGACUCCAAAUUCUACAAUCAUUUUAUUUAAAGUAAGGUAAUAUUAAGCCACUUAGCUCAGUUGGUUAGAACAUGGUGCUGAUAAAAUAAAGAUAAUAUAAAUAUAACUAAAAAAACUUGACAGAACUCAGGUAAUUUGUAUUAUUUAUAUAACCAAAGGUGUAACUAUUUGACCUAAAAACCCAAGUGGAGAAUAUAGAUUUUCAGGAAACCGUAAUUUGUGACCAAGAGUUUUACAGAUACAGAAUGUCUUGACAGAAAUACCCUAUUUUCUGUUAUUCUAGCUUUAUCUUAAAGACUUUGCUAGACUGGCAAAAUUCUUGGGUAGUUACAGCAUUCCAGUGAUUCUAAUGUUUUAAGAGAUGGUUAUAAGCCUGAAACUAAACAUCUGUUAGGCUAAAAAUAAAGGCAUUUCUUCUGUUAAUUUAUCCAAGACUUCUUAAAGUGCCACUAUCAGCAUGGCUUAUGAAGACCCCUAUAAAUAUAGAUAGCCCAAUAUUCAUUUUAUUAACCACGUGCUCCAAGUCGAAUCAAAGCGACUCUAAUUUACCAUCCUCCAUGAAGUUUUUCUGUUUAAACAAACUCAGGAACUUUAUUUUAUUGACGGAUUAGAUAGCAACUGAGAAAGAGUAAAGCUACUACUACUUACACAUAUACAUGGGUGCAAGUUUUCAAAUAAUUAAUAUGUGUGUAUGUAAGUGAAUUACAGCAAAACAAUAAUUUCAAAAAUAAUUAGAAGGGUCGUGGAAAGAUUCCUCCUUUGCACUCCCACAACCUCCUGUGAAUUCUCCUCCAUUACUUACCAUGUUGUGUUGAAUGCUUUCUCCCUGACCAGAGUAUGAGCUGCGUCAGGUCAGAGACUGUGUCUUUCUCCCUGUGAACCCAGUGUGUAACGCAAUGACAACAGUCACCGUCUACUUUGAAAACAUACAUAAUAUAAAGUAAAAACCAAAUUACAUAAAUAGCGUCAUAGGUUAGCCCACAUUUACACCCAUGAAUGGAUCCGAUGUCUUCAGAGUACUCCUGAACGCUUGGAAAUACAUCUUUAGUUCACACGGGCACAAAUUUUACAGAAGAAAGUUAUAUUUAAUCAUGUAUAGAUGAAAUAGAAUUAUUACUCAAAAGCAACAGGAGCCACCUAUAGCGCCUGUGACAGAAGCUGAAAGGAGUUGACUUUCCUUGAAUUCUAAGCAAUUGUUGCAUGCUGGUCUCUGGACAAUGAUAUAAAGCUGGUAAAGUUUGUAUCUGAGGUGACCUUCGCUCUCUAUUUUUUGAACUUCUUUGACCUUUUGCCUCUGUUCCCAGGCAUCCAGAGGCCUUGGGAUGUGCUCUGACUGCCAAGACUCUGAUGUUGAGGAAAGAGCACAAGUUUUGCCUUCCCUAGAACUAGGUAGCCGGCUUGGGUGUGAGUCAGUUUCUCUGACAUUUAGUAUCCUCGACGUAAAUUUAGAGUAAUAGUGCUAUUUCUCUGGGAGAAAUUGUGUGAAAGGAUGCAAGUGGGAAGGCUCUGUAAACCACAAAACAUUGGGUAGAUGUUAUUUAAAACAGUCUUAAAAUUGGGGAACUUCUAAUGUCCUCUCUGCUCUGGAGUAUCUAUGACCUAAAUAAUUUCAUUCGGUCAACUAUCUACAUCCUCUUUUUUUGGUGCAAUUGUUGGCACAGAAAAAAAUCUGAUUGUUGCCUAAAUUUAUUCUCUUUAAGCUAAAAUGCCUGAUAAACAUAAAACCACUCUGCUUUGUUAAUACUGUUAAAGAGGGGAUUGUAAAUCCAGUUACUCUGGAGGCUGCUGGAGACCAGUCCCACUCCUGACUAAACUGACUACUAAUCCCUGCCCUAAGACAUACAGGGGUCAGAAAGGUGGCAUGCCAGAAAGAAAAGGCUAUUUAUCUCAAUUUAAAGCUCCAAUACAUAGAGGAUGGUAAUUUAAUUUCCUGAAAUUUGCUUGUCUGAAAGUUUAAUUAAGAGAAACCAAGACACUAAAAUAGUUUUGUAUUAAAUAUACGGAACAGUGGUACUUAACUACUUGAAGACUUAUGUUGCUAUAGUUAGAUUGUUAAAAUUAUAUUUAUAAAAGAAAUCAAGUGUAACCAUUUUAGUAAUUCCAGAAAGACAAACUGUAAGAGGUAAAAUUAAAAUUAGGGAAAAUGAGACCAUUUAUAAUGGGUCGUUAUGACUCUGAAUAACGAUGAUUAUUGGUUCUGCUUAAUCAAACUGUCAUCUAACAUAAAAUAGAUAUUAAGCUAAAUUACAUUACAUUAUCAUUCUAUGAUGCUACAAAAUUUUAAUGCAAAGCUCUUUAAAAAAAUAAAUCCACAAGAAAACAGACCCAAUAUUAACCUUUUCUCCCUAUUUCCAAAUGGUUUUAAUUAGUAAAGGAAUCCAUGUAAAGAGUGAAAAAAACUGUAUGCUGUAAAGUGUUGCUUUUUACUACAGCAAAUGAUCGAACAUUUAUUUUUAUUUUUUAAAGCAUCUAGCUUUAAUAUAAUGCUUAAUGAGGCCAGGAUCAACCUUUGUCGGACUUUUCUUCUGUUAUUCAGCUUCAUUCCACUGGCCUUCUUUCCCUUCCCCUCUGCCGACUAAAUCAUGUAGAGGAAUCUUUGGUUUUUCUCACCAUCAGCACCAUUUCUGAAUCUGACGGCGCUCAAGUGCUACUUCUCUAAGUACUUUCUGAACCCCCCAAACCAAAAUCAAACGUGAAACUACAGACUCACUGAAUCAGAAACUUGGUGGCAGGGCCUGAGAGUCUGUGUUUUAAUGUUCUCCUGAGGUGUCUUUUAAUACCUCUGGCUUGAAAAUCAUUCUCCUUGAACUACUGACAAUUAGAAAAGACAACCUAUCGAUGCUAAAGUACACUAUUGCUAAUUUUAACACUUAGUUGGUUAAUAUUGAAUCCUUUAAAGAUUUAUUGAGAAUAUACAAUUUGCCAGUCUGUUUACUAGAUACCAGUGCUAAGAUAAUGAUUUCUCUCAUACAUCUUUAAGCUUUUUUUUUUUUCUUUUUAGGGCUGCACCUGCGGCAUAUGGAGGUUCCCACGUUAGGGGUCAAAUUGGAGCUGUAGCUGCUGGCCUACACCACAGCCACAACAAUGCAGGAUCCGAGCCUUGUCUGCGACCUACAUCACAGCUCAUGGCAAUGCCGGAUCCUUAACCCACUGAGAAAGGCCAGGGAUCAAACCUCAUGGAUGCUAGUCAGAUUCGUUAACCACUGAAUAACCACUGAGCCAUGAUAGGAACUCCUAUCUUUAAGCUUAAUCACAGGAUUUUCCUCUGGAAUUACUAUCUCCUUAAUAUAGCAUUAUUUAUUCAGGAAUUAGUAUAGAGUCCCGAGUUCCCUGUUUCCACAAGUAUAAAGCAAAAAAAGUUUUAGUCAAAUAAAACAAUAGAGUCAUAGGAGCAAAACAAUGAUGGAAAGUGUGUAAAGUAGACUCAACAUAGUUAAAGAGAAAAUGAGUGAAUAGGAAAACUGAAGCAUGCAAAUGCAGCACCGAGAGAGAAAAAAAGAUUUCAAAAAGGACAUUAAAAAUAAUUUAAAAGGAGUGGAGGCAAAAAAAAUGAAGAGGCUUUGACAUAUGUCUAAUAUUAAUUCCAGUAAGAAAUAAGAGGGUUCACAGGGAGGGGGGAAGUAGUUGAAAUGAUGGUUGAACAAUUACGUGAACUGAAGACAGUGAUGAGUCCACCUAUCAAUGUUAGAUAAAACCUAAAACCAACUUAGUCAUUUUGUAGUGGGUUGCAGAUCAUUAAGGACAAAGAAAAAAAAAAAAAAUCUUGGCAUCAAAUAGAGGUAAGGAGGAACAAGCUCCUUAUUUACAUAAGAACAAUCAAACUGAUAGCAGACCUUAUCAGCAUUAGGAGAGGCUAGACCAGAAUGGAGGAAUAAACUUCAAGGUGCUGGGAAAUAACACUCAAAGUAAAGCUGCACAUUUACCAGAGAGGGUAGAACAAAAAAGUUUAAAGAAAUGCAAUGCCAUACAAAGUGGGUCACUUGAAAGAAAUACUAAAGGACAUAUUUCAGGAAUAAAUAAAUCCAUAAAGAUACAGGGAGACCCUGUGUAAACAAGCGGGUAAAGUAUAUCAAGUUUAAUUAUUGGGUAGAAAUGACGAUAAUUUACAGACACUAAUUUUUAUUGUUUAGAUAAAAACAAGAAUUAAGUGACAGGUAAUGCAACUCUUUAUUGACAAGACAUUUAUAAAAAUAGGUUGUCAACAGCCCAUUUUAUAUCUUAAAUUAAUUCGAGGUGAUAUCAAAAAGCACUUGAAUUAACAUUAAAUGUGUAAUCAAAAUCCGUUUUUUUUAUGUUAUAAAUUUAAUAGCAACUUAAACUCUCUGGAUUUAAAAACAGAUUUUAUUUUUACUAGUUUUCCCUAAAAGGAUUAUUUUACAAAACAAUCAAUUCUGUUAUAUAGUUUUUAACACGUAAAAUAUAUCACACAUAUAAAUUGUUGCAUGAUUUGCUCCUCACAAAGAAUAAAGGCUCCUUUCUUAAAAACUAUUCUACUUAUCAGAGAGAGUCUAAUUUUUCAAUUCAUGGACAUUAGCUACUAUUAUAGUAAGUAGUUUUGACCUACGGAGAUACUAGAAGAAGCAGUGUAUGUGGCAAAAAAAGAGCAACUUAUUACAUAAUUUAGAAGAUUUCUUAUGGAGGUAGAUUAAUGUGCUGCAGAUCAGUAACUCUCACUUACGUUGUAGCUAUAGUUUUCAAAAAUCAUGUUCUUUUAAUUUUUUCACUGUUUAGUAUAGUGUUUUCCCUUGAAUUAAGCUACAACAACAACAACAAUGUUUUAAUGAGAGUUUUUGGUAAAGUCAAGGAGGUAAGUUCCCUUUUUCCUAAGAGAUGUUUGGCUCUGUUUGUAAGACUUUCUUCAAGAGUACAACAAAGAAAUAAUAUGAACUUUCAUAUUUACUGAGAAAUUCAAAGGAUAGUCUCAGUUCAGUAUUUAAUUUAAAAACAAAGAAACAAACUGUUGGCAUGACUCACAGGGGUCCAUUGUUAAGGACCAGUAGAAGUUAUCAAACAUUUGGUUGGUUCAUUCAAUCAGGAAAUAAAGAGGUAUUCAAUUCCCUGAAAAAAUAAUUAAUCAAAUCAUUUUGGUGUGAGCAAUGCUAUUUGAAUCUUUUUGUGUAGAGAGUGUGAAAAUAAAUUGAUUCAAGUUUUCCUUUUUCUGCUAAUUGCUACAGAAACACAAUUUUAAGUCUUUUUUCCUAAAUUUUCUUUUCUUACUACAUUUCCAUGUAAUUAAGAAAAUGAUCCCCUUAUUUCUUUCUCCACAAUUAACGGGUACAUUCUUCCUUCAGACCCCUUAAUCUUAUGUCCCUGAGAAGCAACUCUCUAGUUCUGCCACCAUGACUUCCGUUCCUGACUACAGGUUGUGAUUAUGAAGCGUGAAGACAGAAGUGAUCCUUUUAACUCUCGUGCUGCAGCCUUGGAGGACUUUUUCCCUGUAGAAUUAAAAGGCUAGAAAUAUACUACGAGUGCCAACACAAUUAGAAGAAAAACUACUAUGAAAAAAUACAAAUAGUCUACACAUAAAAUGCUGAAAAACAAAACACUCCCCGCCAUCCCCCCCCCCGCUAUUAAUUAGGCUACAUGAAACUGAAGAAAACAAGUCACUAUAGAUAUUGGGAUUAUAUAGAAUCCUUCUUGCAGCAAUCCCACCACAUGAAGUUGUCUAACAUAACUAAGGUAAUCCGUGAUUUUAAAAAGAAGAAGAAGGGAAGGAGGAGAAGGAGAAGAAGAAGAAGAAGAGGAGAAAGAAG
rnacentral:lncRNA from 1 species